UACGAAGGGGGCUAGCGUUGUUCGGAUUUACUGGGCGUAAAGCGCACGUAGGCGGAUCGUUAAGUCGGGGGUGAAAUCCUGGAGCUCAACUCCAGAACUGCCUUAGAUACUGGCGAUCUUGAGUCCGGAAGAGGUGAGUGGAACUGCGAGUGUAGAGGUGAAAUUCGUAGAUAUUCGCAAGAACACCAGUGGCGAAGGCGGCUCACUGGCCCGAUACUGACGCUGAGGCACGAAAGCGUGGGGAGCAAACAGG
rnacentral:rRNA from 1 species